rnacentral:lncRNA from 1 species
GGACGAGCAAUCAUUUCCUUAGAGCAUGCUGUGCCUGCUACCUCCCUCAAAAAGAGAAUACUGUCCUUUUCUUUGGUCAAUAGAUCAAGUUAGAUGCCAGUACCAUGGGAUGACCAUUAAGAACGGCAGCAGCAGUGGAGUGGAUCAACCUGAGCUUAGAGUGCUAUAGAAGGCAGAACUGCAGAAGCUCUUUGGAGGAGCCCAGAAGAGCAUGUGUGGAUCCCAGACAUUGAAACAAGAAGCUGUAACAUUGAGGAUGCCUUGGAGAUCCCAAGAUGUUUGAGAUGUCAGAGCCAGGAACUAUCUGUUGAGGAAAGCUGCUAACAGGGAGUGGAACCAGCCCAGGAGAAAGAAGUAUGUUGCAGUCAACAAAGAUGAAAAGGAGUUGGAGAUCUGAAGACCACUUUGACAUCAGACAUGGAGAUGCAGAAUUUGGAAUUUGCCCAGGUGGUUUCCUGUCUUGUUUUGGGGAAUACAGUUAAGUGAUUAGAAAAAAAUCUCAGAAAAAUCUUUGAACUUUGGACUUUUAACAUUGUUGAGACUGCUAUAGACUAAGGAACUUUGGAAGUUGGACUAAAUGUAUUUUGCAUUAUGCUAUGUUCAGGUAUGGCCCCCCAGAGACUCAAAUGUUUGGACAAGGCUAUGGGGGCCAGGGAGUGGAAUGUGAUGGUUUAUAUAUGGCCCAGGGAGUGGCACUAUUAGGAGGUGUGGCCUUGUUGGAGUUGGUGUGUCACUAUGGGUGUGGGCUUCAGACCCUCACCCUAGCUGCCUGGAAGUCAGUCUUCCACUAGCAGCAUUCAGAUGAAGAUGUUGAACUCUCAGCUCUGCCUGCACCAUACCAGCCUGGAUGCUGCCAUGGUCUUGCCUGGAUUAUAGUGGACUUAAUCUCUGAACCUGUAAGCCAGGCCCAAUUAAAUGUUGUCUAUAUAAGAAAAAAUAGAAUUUCCUUGGAUCAUAUUAGUAAAAAUAAAUGUUGGUGUUUUGGGUUACUACACACAGUGAAUCUACAGCUAGUUUUUCUACUCCUACCUAAGGACCUUAGGUUUGCCAAGGUGGUGAAUUUUCUCUUAAAGUUUGACUUGCCGAAUAUGUAUUUUUAAUUUAUGUUCUAUACCUAGGUCAGUUCAAAACUUGUUUACAUAUGUUUUGUACUCAAAUUUUCAGAACCUCUGAUUUUUUUAAAAACUGAUAACCAUAGUCCAUGUUAAUUUUUCUCUCAUAUCACAUGUCUGCUUGACAUAACAUGUGACUUAGGUAUGGGAGAAAUGAUGUCUUCUGCAGCAUACACAGAUUCACCCAUUAGUCAUACGCUCUCAGGAUUAAGUGUAUACAACUGGUAGUAGGUGGUAGAUGUUCGUGUUUGGAUAUGAUCUGAGUCUGUCCCUUCAAAGUACAAGUGACAAAGGUCAAACUCCAGUGUGGUGGAGUUGGGAUGAAAAUCCUUCCGUAGGAAGGUAUAAUGGAAGAUGAUAAGGCCUUGGGCUCUUGAAUCGGUCACCCUAGCUUGAGGUCUUCAAGGUCUCCCCUGUAAGCAUACCUGUCUCCAUGAUGCAAUAAACCUUGUUGUGACACAGCAAGACAGCCUCUCUGGGAGUCAAAUAAGAGGCCCCAGAUCCCAGAAUUUAUCCAUUUUAGCAUUUCAAACUGUGAGUUAACCAAAUUCUUUUCUUUACCAAGACUUAGCUAUGUUGUUUUGUCAAUGGAAAAUAGAUAAAUGCAAUACCUGUUUAGCAUUUGUAAACAUAUCUUUUAAACACUGUAAGCUUAUGUAAAGGAAGCAAGUUCCAGUGGGCAUCAAAUAUAUCAGUUCAGGUUCUACCCAAGAAUUGGCUGAUACACGUCAAGAUGAAACGAGCAUACCUAUAGAAGAUAACCUCAUGUUCUACUAGGCAAGGAUCGCAAAUAUUUGGGCAUGUGUUCCUCUUAAAAAGGCAGAAUGUUCGAUCAAGUGGUAGUUCCUCGUUCUCUCCUCCACAGUGUUUCAUGUGUCCCAUUAAGCAAGCAUCAUCUUUAUCUCAGAGAAGCCCAAUAUCUUUCAGUACAAGCAUUCAGAGAGAAAGUACUGCAGCACAAAGUCACAGGACAUUUAUCCACGCCUGGCAUCUGGGAAGACGACACGCAGACAUUUCAAAUUUAUAUUUCAUCAUAUGAAUGUAGAAUCUGAACACCUUUCUUGUCUGGAGAAAGGACAAUCGUCUGGUGCAUGGUACUUACAACACCGAUUGAAACAGUCACGUUUCACCAAGAUGUCCACACAGGAAGGAAAGUUGGCAUUAUCAUCAUCCUUGGCAGUACCAGAAAACUCAGGCUGAUAGCAUUGAUGAAGAAUUCUACAACGGGGAAGUCGGUAUUGAAUUUAAUGUGAUGCCAUAAGCCGUGGCAACCAAACUGCUAUCUGUCUCUGUGGAAUUUUGUAAAUUCAUUGAUCGACAACUGUGAAUAACUGUGAGUUAUUUUUCUGUGGUCAGAUGGAUCAAAGGAAUACACUUGAUAAUAACCCCUUAGUGCACUUAUAAUAAGAGACUCAGCAACCCAAUAGUGAAGAUGUAGCCAAGUCAGAGGACCACGUGAGUAGCUAGAGAGUCCUUCUAAAAGUAAACGAGCAUUCCUGGCUUUAAAUCUACACAAAUAUAGAACUCUACAACGAGGCUGCUAUGGGAGAUUGUGCAACCUUAAUUCUUCUAUGACUAGUCGUACAAACAAGGCAGAAAUCACCCAGUCUAUCCUCACUUGUACUCAUUAGAAGCAGCAGAGUAGUUCUUGAAGACACAAUGAUGUACUUUAGAGGGAUAAGGGUCACACGUUUUUAAAUGAUACUUGUUAUCAUUUUAAUGACAGCUAUUGGUCACCAUGAUGGUUUGAACAAGAGAUGUUCCCCGGAGUCUUCAACGUUUGUAUACUUGGACCUCCAUGGAGACUUACGUGCUCCAGCUUUGCUGGAGGAAUUCACUGUAAAAUGCCUCACCUAUAUCCAGUUUGCUCUUUCUGGUUUGUGCUCACAAUUCGAGGGUAUGGUCACUUGCUUCCUGCACCGGCCACCAUUUCUGCUGGUUGCCAUACCUUUUCAUCAUCAUGAUGGUCUCAUAACCCUCUAGAACCACAAGCCAAAAUAAAUCCGCCCUUCUAUAAUUUUUUUGUCAUGAUACUUUUAUUACAACUACAGAAAACAACUAAUAAAGUUACUAAUAACAUAUUAAGCAAUAACUUGUAACAUUAUUUUUGAAAUAGCUUAGAAAUGUUAUAUCCUGGGAUGUUGCUAGUCUUUGAAACAUGUAUUUCCUUGAAGAAAACAAUAAAAAUCUUUUGUUU